GGGUACGCUGACGGGAAGGACCUCGGUGGUCCGCCCAUGGGACUCUGAUGAUGAUGAUGAUGAUCCAUUAGGGACCUCAAUCCACUAGAAAUAUUACAACGACAAGGACCAAAUUGAAUAGGGAGAGCUAUAGUCCCGCCAAAGAUUGUUGGUUGCCAUAGUAUCUGCUUCUUCCCUUUUCGAAUUACAUUCGAUUAAAACCGGCGCCAGCGUACGACGGAUCCGCAUCCAAUGUGGCCGGCGCCUGCCACCGGAAGAAAAACCCAACCGGAAGAAAAAAAAAAGGAUCGUCGGAGAAAAUGGCGUGAAGGUGACAAGUGCACACAAUGCUCUCUCUGCUCUCGGGUGUGAUUCGUGCCACUUCCUGGACGAUGAGCCAGUCAACCCUUCCAGCAUUCCCGGAUCGAACCAAGGAGAAUGCCGGUGUCGGGCAAUCGGUGGAUGCUUCCGAGUCAACAACUUACUCAUGUGAGACAAGUAACAUACUAUACACACAGAUAUUGUGUAGCCUCUUCUACCCUUUCUAUUCCCCUCUCCCCCCCCCCCCCCCCUUUGCUGGAUUUUGGCAUCCACUUGGGUAGCCGGAACACUCCUAAUUGCCUUUACGGCUCAUUGAUCCUCGACUCUCUUUAGCCUAUCUUUCUGCUGUCCAUUAUUUGGAUUGGCUCCCACACGCCUUUCAUCGAUUGCAGAUGAAAUUGACUAACUAGAGACAAGAUUGCUCUGAACUAAUCAUCUAAUCUGGCUUCUAUUUUCGUUCUUUCUUCAUCCGUUUAAUGCUCUGAAAUGCGUAUUACCUGUGCGGAAGCGGGAAAAGGUGCGAUCCGUAGGGAGAACCGAACGGGAAGCUGUUUAGAUUGCUGCCGCUCCCACCGCCUAGCGAACUGCUGUGGCCUGUCAUAGUCGAGAGUUUGGGCUGUUCGGCGGAGUGAACCGCAUUGCCGGAUGAGGAGGACUGCGGCUGUUGAACGGUGUGCGGAUUUUUGGAUGCGGAGUCGGCUGACGUUCCGGCCGAAGGGCUGACGGAGUAGACUUCCUCGCGGCUGGUAAUCGGAGUGCCGUUGGGAUCGCCGUGACUGCUGCGGCGGAUGCUUCCGUCGCUGUUGCUGCUGUGACUCCGCUCGUCUGAAUGAUCGUCGUCGACUUUGAUUUCAACCACUGGCGCCAAGGUAAUUGCCGUUUGACUACUACAAAAACCCGAAAUGUUAAUUUUACAUCCGCCUAAAUUAUUCCGGAAUUAUUUCUCAAUCAACUUACUCGUCGUCGACGUCAAUGUUGACUUGAUUCGAAGGGCUGCAGCGUCCCGUCUCGAAUUCCAGCUGCUCUACAUCCGGACUGGUAUCUCCGUCACAUCCAUCACCUUCGUUCGGAUCCUAUUGCGCAACACGGAAAUGUUUUGACAAGGUGAUGAUGACACCCAAAGUGGUGCGGAGGAAAUCCAUCGGGAGCGAGCAGAUAGAGCUUCAAUUAUUUACCAAGCCAAGAAGAUUCGAAAAAAAAGAAUUAACUCACAGGUUAGAGAUGGAGGUCCGACGCCAAAGGAGCCGGGCAGAUCCAGUGCUGAUUGCAAACGGCUGGCGAUCGAAGGAAGGAGAUUGGCCGGCGGAUAGUGGUAACAAAACAUUUUCCUGCUAUCUUCCCGUUUGUCUUCUGUUCUCAGCCGCAAAUUCAAGGAGAAAAAAAAGAAAACAGGAUCAUCGUCAGCCCGUUAAAUGCAAUGACAAAAUAAAGCCUCAUCAUCGCCCAACCAAAGUGCCAAACAGACAAACAAACAAACAGACACACACGCAAACACACAAAAGGAAUAAUAACAAUAUAAGGAGACGCGAUGAGAUGGAAACUGAUGAGAAACAAAGAGGGCCGGAUGACACGUAAUGUCAUCCAGUCUUGAUGGAUCAAAGGCAAAGUCGAAGCUCCUUGAGGUUUUGAUUCCAAGAGAGAGCGAUACACACUCCCGCCCGGUACCCAUACAGGCAAAGGUGAUUUCAACGAAGUUAGUACCGUCGACUUCUCUCCUCUCUUGCUUAUUCGUCCCGGUCGAUUGAUCAUCAACUCGUCAGAGCUAAUAGUGUAUAUAAUAUCUAUCUAUCUAUCUAGGGCAAGCGAGUGAGAGAUAGCAGCAGCCAGCAUCCCCCCUCUUCUCUCUUCUUGAUCCUUGUUCUCUCUCCCUCAGCAGUUGGUUAAUGAAGAGCUCUGAGUGAAUUUGGCCAGCUUGAGGAUCUUUGCCUUAUCGAGCCAUCGGCGACGAUUGCAUUAGCCCCAGCAACUUUCUCUCGCAGGCUAUACGCUCAUCAGCUCCCCGACCAAAUGAAGGAGCCCAAUCUUGUUAGCACCUCGACGCGGCACGUCUGUCUAUAUGGAUCAACUCGACGGGAUCUAUUUGCUUUACAUUACAGACGGUUGGACUUACCGGCGGAGCGAUAGAAGAGUAGAUCCGGCUGGUUGGAGAACUGGAUGAACGAUUGCGGGCCGAUGGCCGUGCCAUUGCGGAUGAUAUCGAGUGGGGCCCGAUGAGCGUGGUGUUCUUCUUCCCGC
rnacentral:lncRNA from 1 species